UCACCCUUGUGUAAUCUCCUCCUCUUUGAGCAUGGUUUGUAUCUGUGAAUAUGAUAUGUGUUCCAUGAUUGUGUUCUGUUAUGUAGCAAAAGAGAGACUAUUUGGGUAGGCCUGACCUACUCAGUUAAGUUCUUUUUUUUUUUUUCUUUUUUUCUUUCUUUCUUUUUUUUUGGUACCGGGUAUUGAACUCAGGAGCACUCAGCCACUGAGCCACAUCCCCAGUCCUAUUUUGUAUUUUAUUUAGCGACAGGGUCUCACUGAUUUGCUUAGUGCCUCACUUUUGCUGAGGCGGGCUUUGAACUUGCAAUCCUCCUGUCAGCCUCCUGAGCCACUGGGAUUACAGGCAUGUGCCAUCACACUUGGCCUCAGUCAAGUUCUUUAAAAGUAUUUUUUUCUGGCUGUUCUAAGUAGGGGAAGUCAGAGAUUCACAACCCAGGAAGCAUUCAAUGCACCAUCAUUGGCUGGAAGAUGAAGGUGGCUAUACAGCAGAAAAUUGGACUAGUCCCUAGGAGCAAGGAACCUUCAUAGAUGACAGCCAUAAGGAAAAUGAAGACUUCAGUCCAGUAGUCACAAGUAAAUUAUUUCUGUAGCAACAAGC
rnacentral:lncRNA from 1 species